AUACUUACCUGGCAGAGAAGAUACCAAGAUCAUGAGGGUGGUUUUCCCAGGGCAAGGCUUAUCUAUUGCACUCCGGAUGUGCUGACCCCUGCGAUUUCCCCAAAUGUGGGAAUACUGGACUGCAUAAUUUGUGGUAGUGGGGAACUGCGUAGCGUUCGCGCUGUCCCCUA
rnacentral:snRNA from 1 species